GUGGAGGCUAUAUACAGGGGUACCGGUACAGAGUCAAUGUGGAGGCUAUAUACAGGGGGUACCGGUACAGAGUCAAUGUGGAGGCUAUAUACAGGGGGUACCGGUACAGAGUCAAUGUGGAGGCUAUAUACAGGGGUACCGGUACAGAGUCAAUGUGGAGGCUAUAUACAGGGGGUACCGGUACAGAGUCAAUGUGGAGGCUAUAUACAGGGGGUACCGGUACAGAGUCAAUGUGGAGGCUAUAUACAGGGGGUACCGGUACAGAGUCAAUGUGGAGGCUAUAUACAUGGUGUUACGGUACAGAGUCAAUGUGGAGGCUAUAUACAGGGGGUACCGGUACAGAGUCAAUGUGGAGGCUAUAUACAGGGUGUUACGGUACAGAGUCAAGGUGGAGGCUAUAUACAGAGUGUUACGGUACAGAGUCAAUGUGGAGGCUGUAUACAGGGGGUACCGGUACAGAGUCAAUGUGGAGGCUAUAUACAGAGUGUUACGGUACAGAGUCAAUGUGGAGGCUGUAUACAGGG
ensembl:lncRNA